CACACGUCACGGGCGUUCAAAGAAUGUAGCUGGCACUGCUCCCUCCGGCCUCCUUCAAACCUUGCAGAGUGAACAUGGAGACAUGCACAGGUCCUUACGAAUUCAAGCCAACGUGUCCUAAAGACUCCAGCUGGUUCCUACAACCCAGACUUAAGAAAAGCAGGUUUCCUUUCAGCUUGAAACUGAACAAGUCUAUGGGCUAAAGAAGACCUGAGGACCCCCAGCAUGUGCGCACAACUGUCUAACAGCUGAUGGUGUCAUCUGUCCCUCCAGUGAUGGUCAAGGCUGAGGAGCUAAUAUGAGUGUCUGGACAGGUAUCUCUCUCCACCCCUCACUGUGCCUUGGGUGGCCCUCCCAAAGCCAGGUGUCAAAAAGAAUCAUAGCCCCAUGAAGAAUACAUUUUCCCAAGUGUCCAGGAAAGU